AGCAGCCGCGGUAAUUCCAGCUCCAAUAGCGUAUAUUAAAGUUGUUGCAGUUAAAAAGCUCGUAGUUGAAUUUCGGGACUAAUAUGUCGGUCGUGCCUCGGUACGUACUGGUUUAUUGGUUUCUCCUUUCUGAAGAACCAUGAUGUCAUUUAUUUGGUGUCGUGGGGAAUCAGGACUGUUACUUUGAAAAAAUUAGAGUGUUUAAAGCAGGCUCACGCUUGAAUACAUUAGCAUGGAAUAAUGAAAUAGGACGUUUGAUUCUAUUUUGCUGGUUUCUAGGAUCGACGUAAUGAUUAAUAGGGAUAGUUGGGGGCAUUAGUAUUCAAUUGUCAGAGGUGAAAUUCUUGGAUUUAUUGAAGACUAACUACUGCGAAAGCAUUUGCCAAGGAUGUUUUCAUUAAUCAAGAACGAAAGUUAGGGGAUCGAAGACGAUCAGAUACCGUCGUAGUCUUAACCAUAAACUAUGCCGACUAGGGAUCGGAUGAUGUUAAUUUUUUAAUGACUCAUUCGGCGCCUUACG
rnacentral:misc_RNA from 1 species